UACGUAGGGUGCAAGCGUUGUCCGGAAUUAUUGGGCGUAAAGAGCUCGUAGGCGGUCUGUCACGUCGGCUGUGAAAACCCGAGGCUCAACCUCGGGCCUGCAGUCGAUACGGGCAGACUAGAGUUCGGUAGGGGAGACUGGAAUUCCUGGUGUAGCGGUGAAAUGCGCAGAUAUCAGGAGGAACACCGGUGGCGAAGGCGGGUCUCUGGGCUGACACUGACGCUCAUGCACGAAAGCGUGGGGAGCAAACAGG
rnacentral:rRNA from 1 species